UACGAAAGGCGCAAGCGUUACUCGGAAUCACUGGGCGUAAAGCGCACGUAGGCGGACUCGUAGGUCAAUUGUGAAAUCCCUGGGCUCAACCCAGGAACUGCAGUUGAAACCACUUGUCUUGAAUACCUGAGAGGGUGGGGGAAUACCUGGUGGAGAAGUGAAAUUCGUAGAGAUCAGGUGGAACACCAGAGGCGAAGGCGACUGCCUGGCAGUGUAUUGACGCUGAGGUGCGAAAGUGCGGGGAGCAAACAGG
rnacentral:rRNA from 1 species